rnacentral:lncRNA from 1 species
ACCGGAUCAUUCCGUACGUGAAAGUGCAGUGGAGCAAUCACGAGGAGCGGGAGGCGACUUGGGAGCCUGAGAAGGUGAUGAGGGAGUCUUACCGCGACCUGUUCGUUGCCCCGUGUUGAGGUAUGUGUUAAGUUUCGAGGACGAAACUUUUUUGUAGUAGGGGAGGAUGUAGUAUCCUUAAUUUUGUUUUUAUUUGAGUUGGUAGACUAGUAGUGGAUAAGGAUGCCACGUGUAACUCUAACCUCAUGCAUCCUUAUCAAUUGAGUUUUAACUGAGGUGUAUAGUUUUUUUAUUUUCAUUUUUACUUCUUCUCUCUUUCUCCAUUCGGCCGAAGUAAGGAGGAGUUCGGGUUGUGCCGCGGAGCUCGAUUUCGACGCCGACGAUGCGCCGCGAAGCCGUUCGAAGGUACGGUUGGGCUCGUAGUGUUGUGAGGAGGCUUGGCAAGGGUCUAUUUCCGCCAUUCUCGACGUCGCGCCGGAUUGGAUUUAGCUUUCGAGGUGGGUUACAUCGGCUUUACUCCUAAGUUAUUAUUGGUCGACAUGUAUAGAUCUUGAUUUCGGUCAUUAAUUUAGCUCAAAUUCAUGGACUAUAUGUAGAUUGUGAAAUCUGAAUUUUGGAGCAUAUUUUAUAAAUUAAGUAGAUCAUACAUAUUGGACUUGGAAAUUGAAUUAGGAGAAAACCUACGAUUUGGACCUGUCACCAGUUUUAACUACCUGAUUUAGCUCUAGGAGCCGUUAGAAAAUUGUACUGUCGCAGUUAUUCGAGACGAGUACUCCAGGUAGUUUAGAAUGUAUUUACACUCGUGCUCGUUCGCCGAGUGGAUUUUUACAGGGUCGUUCAGGUUGUUUCGGACUGUUGGGUGCCGUCAGAGUUGACGGUGGACCCGUAUCGCCUUUUUGGGCGUCAGAUUGUGCCGAGGGCACUUACCUGUUGGUUGUUAGACCAUUUUGAGUCGAUUACUUGACUUUGGCUAGUUGGAGCCUGUUUGAGCUCGACAGAGAUACGCUGCAUACUCGGUUGGGUAGCGCCCACGAGUGCCACUCCGGAGUCAGGCUUGUGCUUUCGCGUUGGUGUCGCUCAUGCCAGUUGGACUUGCUCUCCACGGACCAGUUGGUGUGGAGGUAGCUGGAUAGUCGCAACGGGGCAGGGACGGGUGUGUUCACAGUCCCAGGGACGGGUAUGUUUAUAGUCCCGAUUGGAUUGGGUCAGAUUGACAUUUUCUACAGUUGGUUAGUGUAGAGCAUGAUAGUGUAGUGAUUGAUAGCGGUAGAGCGUACUUCCUGCUUUUCCUACUAUUCUUGCUCCCUUCUGUAGACUUAGUGGGUGACCGAUGUUGUUUUGGGCGGUACCCACUGAGGACUACUUGUUUUUACAGUAGUUCUCACGCCCAGUUGUUACUCUUGUUUUGCAGAGCCACAGGUUUCGGCUGCUGCGCCUUCUGCGGAUCAGGAUCGAGGCAAGAGCGUCGCGAGUUAGAGCCCUACCUGACGAGCAGAGUUAGAGGCACCCCUACUGCAGGUAGAUGUUUUGUUUCGAGUUUAUGUAUAUAGUUUACCUAACUCGCCAGUGCGAGUAACUCUGUAUUUUGGAUUUGAGCUAUAUAUAUGAAACUCAAUUUGUUUAGCUUUUGUUUUCUCUAGCAGCUCUAUACUACUGUUUGUAGUAUUGUAUGUUUUACAGGUACAGCUGUCGCUUCGUAUACAGGGAAAAUUCCUUUGUAUACGGCGGAUUUGUCGGCGUGCCCGGGGAACGUGUAAUCCGGGGCGUGACAUCGUAAGUUUCUUCUCCUCCGCUUAUUGAUAUGCUUAAACUCAGCGGGUGGCCCCGCCUGACCUGGGGUCGCGGUCCGAUGCGGCCCGCCCUUUUCUUUUACAUCGUAAAGGGGGAGGCGCGCGCUCGGGGUGGGGGUCCUCUCGGGGGCCGUUCGCCGCUGGGGCCGGAGGCACGGCGCUCGGCUCGCGGUCGCNCUCCCUUCUGUAGACUUAGUGGGUGACCGAUGUUGUUUUGGGCGGUACCCACUGAGGACUACUUGUUUUUACAGUAGUUCUCACGCUCAGUUGUUACCUAUGUUUUUGCAGAGCCACAGGUGCCGGCUGCUGCACCGUCUGCGGACCUGGAUCGAGGCAAGGGCGUCGCGAGUUAGAGCCCCUACCCGACGUGCUGAGCUAGAGGUGCCCUACUGCAGGUAGAUGUUUUGUUUAGAGUUUAUGUACAUAGUUGACUUAACUCGCCAGUGCGAGUAGCUCUGUAUUUUGGAUCUGAACUAUGUAUAUAAAACUCUGUUUUAUUUAGCUUCAGUUUUCUCUAGCAGCUCUCUACUACUGUUCGUAGUAGUGUUUGAUUUACAGGUACAGCUAUCGCUUCGUAUACAGGAAAAAUUUCUUUGUAUACGGCGGAUCUGUCGGCGUGCCCGGGGAACCUGUAAUCCGGGGCGUGACAGAUUAAGUUGGUAUCAGAGCUUUGCUAUAGGUCGUUGGGACCUAGGAAACCUAAGUUGGCAAACCUUAGGAAGCAAGACGCGAGAGGCGUGAUUUAAUUGCGGAAGUCGAUGAUUAUUUGUUCUAACUCCUCCUAAAGCGGAGUGAGUGACUGAAGGAGUUCCUGUUUUGGCCUGAGAAAUUAUGUUGGCUGCAGACGACAUAAUUUUGGAGGAAAACAGGGACCGCCUUCCAGACUUUCGUUGAUUGGGUCGAGAGUGUUGUAUUGUAUCUGACCCCGACUUGUUCUUUGCAGCUAUGUAUCGUCGCCGAGGUCGACCUUCGUUACGGGAGCGCGCCGAGUUGGCGCGAGAUCGUGCUGGACCUUCUGAGAGACCCGAGCAGAUGGAGCAGAGUGCUCGGCAGGAGCAGAGUGACAGACCGGAGGCGAGUGCACCCCCUGUUGUAGGGCCGAGUGCGCGACCUGAGGCUGGCGCACCCCCUGACCUAAGUGCACAGUUGGCUGCCCUGACUGAGGUGACGAGGCAGCAGGGGGAGUUGUUGCAGAGGUUGUGUGAGAGAAUAGCUCAGUCACCGAGUUCAGCACCGAGUAUACCAGAGCAUACUGUUCCCCCACCGACUACUCCAGUGUCAGCUCCAGCCGCAGCUAUGCCCCCACCAGUGGAGCUUCCUACAGCGCCAGUUGCGCCUGCUAGGGGACCCGUACAGUUGACAGAGGCCGAGCAGGAGCGAUGGACGGAGAGGUUGGCUCGUUUCCGCCGAUUUGAUCCACCUACUUUCGAUGGCAGCGGCACUGAGGCCUGGGUUGUUGAGGGAUGGGUCAGUGCUAUGGAGAGGUUAUUCGAGGAUCUGUACGUUCCAGAGGGGGAGCAGGUACCUUUGGGAGUACAUUGUUUGUCAGGUGAUGCACGUGAUUGGUGGCGGAGAGCGAGGCGAGACCAGGGACUAGUGGCGGCACAGCUGAGGUGGGAUGAGUUCUGUGGAAUACUGUAUGGGAUGUAUUUUCCCAACAGCAUGAAACAGAAGAUUGAGGAGGAUUUAAAGAGGAUCCAGCAGGGCGAGCGGACAGUUCAGGAGUAUGUUCGGGAGUUUACUAGACUCCUGAACUGUGUUCCGUUCGUGGCCAGGGACGAGGCUCACAGGGUCUACUUAUUCGAGCAGGGUUUGAGGCCAGAUCUCUUCAGGUUUGUCAGGGCGCAGAGGUCGAGGACCCUGGAUGCGUCUAUUGAGCAGGCGUUGUGGGAGGAGCGAGGAGAGGUGUCCCUCAGAGAGCGGGUGCAGGCGCCGGGGCCGAGUCAGGAUAGGAAGCGCCCCUUUCCAGAUGACGGAGGGCAGUCGAGCAGCAGACGUCCGCCGAGACCUCCACGAUCACGUUCUCAGGGUCGUGGGUCUUCGGGGCGUCAGCGUUCCAGGGGAUCCCGUCAGCAGGGGCAGACUCAGAGGACGCCACAGUGUGUGAUCUGUGGGGGACCACACUGGCCUCGGCAGUGCGAGCAUAGAGAGGGCAGGUGCUACGGAUGUGGUCAGCCGGGACAUAUGAGGGCAGCGUGUCCCCGAGCAGCAUCUCCAGCACCGUCAUCAGCUUCGGCACCACCAGCACCACAGCAGUCUUACGGAGCAGCACCGAGCUACCGUCAGGAGGAUAGAUCGUCUGUGCCGCGGUCGAGUGAGCGGCGACAGCAGGCUCCGAGUGGCAGGGUCUACGCAGCUCAGGUGGAGGACUCAUCAGCAGCCGACCGAGUGGUGGCAGGUAUCACUUUGAUCUCUGGCAUUAGAGUUCGCACUCUUUUUGAUACCGGUGCAUCGCAUUCCUUUGUUAGCCGAGCAUUUGCAUUGUUGCAUGGUCUAGAGUUAGGAGCGUUGUCUCAGGCACGAGAGGUGCAGAUCCCCGACCAUGUCUUGCAGGUUACAGAGUGUUGUUGGUCCUGUCCGGUGCAGUUAGACUCUUGGAUCAUGCCCGCAGACCUGUUGGUGUUAGGGCAGCUGCAGGACUUCGACGUCGUGCUCGGUAUGGAUUGGCUUGCGCGAUACUAUGCUACGAUCGACUGUGGAGCGAGGACGGUGACGUUCCGCGAGCCAGGUCAGGAAGAGUUCACAUUCAGAGGCUGCAGGAGUACGCUAUUUGCCACCUGGAUAUCUUCGGCGAGGGCUCGACAGAUGCUGAGUAGCGGGUGUAUCGCUUUCCUAGCGACUGUUGUGGAGGUACCUACGGCGGCGCCGGGACUUGAGGACAUCCCAGUAGUCCGCGAGUUUCCGGAUGUAUUUUCCCCUGAAUUGACGACGUUGCCGCCGGAGAGGGAGAUUGAGUUUGUGAUUGAUGUGGUUCCUGGAACUGCACCAAUCUCAAAGGUACCUUAUCGGAUGGCGCCGGCAGAGCUGAGAGAGCUAAAGGCACAGCUUCAGGAUUUGAUGGAUAAAGGGUUUGUGAGACCCAGUGUGUCGCCCUGGGGAGCGCCAGUGCUAUUUGUAAAGAAGAAGGAUGGUUCACUCAGGUUAUGUGUGGAUUACCGGGAGCUGAAUAAAGUGACCAUCAAGAAUAAGUAUCCACUGCCGCGUAUUGAUGAUUUAUUUGAUCAGUUGCAGGGAUCCUUCGUCUUCUCAAAGAUUGAUCUCCAGUCAGGUUACCACCAGCUGAGGGUGAGGGCCGAGGAUGUUCCCAAGACGGCUUUUCGGACUCGGUACGGGCAUUAUGAGUUCACGGUGAUGCCUUUUGGAUUGACGAAUGCCCCUGCCGCAUUCAUGGAUUUGAUGAACAGAGUGUUCAAGCCGUUCUUGGAUAGGUUUGUGGUAGUCUUCAUCGACGAUAUUCUGAUUUACUCCCGGAGUGAUGCUGAGCAUGAGGAGCACUUGAGGAUUGUGCUACAACUUCUGCGUGAGAAGAAGUUGUAUGCCAAGUUAAAGAAGUGCGAGUUCUGGCUACUGGAGGUUGCUUUCUUGGGUCACGUGAUUUCAGCUGAGGGCGUUGCAGUGGACCCGAAGAAGAUUGAGGCGAUUCGGGAUUGGCCGAGACCGACGACGGUGACUGAGGUACGCAGUUUCCUGGGGCUGGCAGGAUACUACCGUCGGUUUGUGGAAGGCUUUGCAAAGCUUUCCACACCCCUCACGCGUCUGACGCGGAAGGGGAUUCGCUUUGUUUGGAGUGACGAUUGUCAGAGGAGCUUUGACGAGUUGAGACAGAGACUGACAUCAGCUCCUAUCCUUGCCCUUCCAGAGAUGGGUGAAGGUUUUGUGAUAUACAGUGAUGCAUCGCACAGUGGGCUUGGUUGUGUGCUGAUGCAGCAUGGUAGGGUGAUUGCUUAUGCUUCACGGCAAUUAAAGGAUUAUGAGAAGAAUUACCCUACGCAUGACUUGGAGCUUGCCGCAGUGAUUUUUGCAUUGAAGCUCUGGCGGCAUUACUUGUAUGGCGAGCACUGCGAGAUUUUUACUGAUCAUAAAAGUCUCAAGUAUCUGUUCACCCAAAAGGAGUUGAAUUUGAGACAGCGCCGGUUGUUGGAGUUGCUGAAGGAUUAUGACAUCAGUAUCCAGUAUCAUCCCGGCAAGGCGAAUGUGGUGGCAGAUGCGUUGAGCAGGAAGGCAGUGCAGAGCUUGAGUAUGUUGAUCACUCGGCAGGGACCGUUACUCGAGGAGCUGAGACGGCUGGGACUCGAGGUAGUGUCCCCUGGAUUUACUGCGAGAUUGAUGUCUAUGAUCUUGCAGCCCACUCUGUUGGAUAGAAUCCGAGAGAAACAGAGUGGAGAUCCGUAUUUGUUGAGGAUUAGAGAGCAGUUAGAUAGGGGGCAGGCUGAGGGAUUUGCUUUGGACAGUUCGGGAGUACUACGGUACAGGGACCGACUGUGUGUGCCUGUGGAUCCGGAGAUUCGAGCGGAUAUUCUGAGAGAGGCUCAUUGUUCCCCUUAUACGGUUCACCCUGGGGGAACCAAGAUGUAUAAGGAUCUUAAGGCACAGUUUUGGUGGCCUGGAAUGAAGAGGGACAUUGGCAGAUUUGUGGCUCAGUGUUUGACUUGCCAACAGGUGAAGGCCGAGCAUCGGGUGCCUGCUGGCAAGCUUCAGAGUCUGCCAGUUCCCGAGUGGAAGUGGGAGCACACCACGAUGGACUUCGUCGUUGGAUUGCCUAGAGCGCAGGGUGGCUACGACGCGAUUUGGGUGAUAGUGGACAGACUGACCAAGUCUGCUCACUUCCUACCGGUUCAGACUACCUGGUCCAGGGAGAGACUCGCGCAGCUAUACUUGGAUGAGAUCGUUAGGCUGCACGGCGUGCCAGUGUCGAUUGUAUCAGAUAGAGACCCGAGGUUCGUAUCCCAGUUUUGGAGGAGCCUUCAGACAGCCUUGGGUACACAGCUACAUUUCAGCACAGCAUUCCACCCACAGACAGAUGGUCAGUCAGAGCGGACCAUUAAGACUCUAGAGGACAUGCUGAGGGCAUGUGUCCUGGACUUUGGAGGAGGGUGGUAUCGACAUUUGAGACUGGUUGAGUUUGCGUACAACAACAGCUAUCAAGCGAGCAUUCAGAUGGCUCCGUUUGAGGCGUUGUAUGGACGCAAAUGUCGAUCCCCCUAUUUUGGAGUGAUGUGGGUGAACGGAGGACAUUUGGACCAGAGAUUCUACUUGAGGCUGAAGAAAAGGUGAGAGUCGUUCGACGACACCUUUUGACAGCACAGAGCCGACAGAGGAGCUACGCCGAUACCAGGAGACGAGACUUGGAGUUUCAGGUUGGAGAUCAUGUUUUUCUCAAAGUCUCGCCGUCUAGAGGGAUACGUCGUUUUGGAGUACGUGGAAAGCUUAGUCCACGGUUUGUUGGCCCUUUCGAGGUAUUGGAGCGUAUCGGACCGGUGGCUUACAGGAUAGCUCUAUCCCCGCGACUAGCUGGCAUUCAUGAUGUAUUCCACGUCUCGGCGCUAAGAAAGUAUGUUUUCGAUCCGUCUCAUGUGAUUGACUUCACCCCACUAGAGAUUGGUGAGGACUUGAGGUACGAGGAGCGACCGGUGCGAAUUCUUGCUCGUGAGACGAAAGAAUUGCGCAACCGGAUCAUUCCGUACGUGAAAGUGCAGUGGAGCAAUCACGAGGAGCGGGAGGCUACUUGGGAGCCUGAGACGGUGAUGAGGGAGUCUUACCCCGACCUGUUCGUUGCCCCGUGUUGAGGUAUGUGUUAAGUUUCGAGGACGAAACUUUUUUGUAGUAGGGGAGGAUGUAGUAUCCUUAAUUUUGUUUUUAUUUGAGUUGGUAGACUAGUAGUGGAUAAGGAUGCCACGUGUAACUCUAACCUCAUGCAUCCUUAUCAAUUGAGUUUUAACUGAGGUGUAUAGUUUUUUUUAUUUUCAUUUUUACUUCUUCUCUCUUUCUCCAUUCGGCCGAAGUAAGGAGGAGCUCGGGUUGUGCCGCGGAGCUCGAUUUCGACGCCGACGAUGCGCCGCGAAGCCGUUCGAAGGUACGGUUGGGCUCGUAGUGUUGUGAGGAGGCUUGGCAAGGGUCUAUUUCCGCC